ACUUCUCGUUAGAUCACCGAAGUCAAGCAUCAUUGGGCGCGGUCAGUACUUGGGUGGGUGACCACCAGGGAACACCGCGUGCCGUU